rnacentral:rRNA from 1 species
CAAAGGUAGCGUAAUCACUUGUCUAUUAAUUGUAGACCUGUAUGAAAGGCAAAAUGAGGGUCUAACUGUCUCUUAUGGCAAAUCAAUUAAACUGAUCUCCUAGUACAAAAGCUAGAAUACCAACAUAAGACCAGAAGACCCUGUGAAGCUUUAAAAAACCUAUUAAAUCAAAUAAUAACUACUUUCGGUUGGGGCGACCUUGGAACAAAAAAGAACUUCCAACACAUGACUCCCUCAUAAAAUAGGCAAACAAGCCAACACCUGAUCCAGUACAACUGAUAAAUGAAACAAGUUACUCCAGGGAUAACAGCGCUAUCUUCUUCAAGAGCCCAUAUCAAAAAGAAGGUUUACGACCUCGAUGUUGGAUCAGGACACCCCAGUAAUGUACCCGUUACUAAAGGUUCGUUUGUUCAACGAUUAAUAGUCCUACGUGAUCUG